CAAAAAAGAAAGGAAAGGAAAAUCCCUAGUUUCAUAGAAUAACAAAAAGAAAAGCUGAAAAUGAAGUCUCUCUCAGAAGAUAAAAAAGUAAAAUAAAAUCAAUUCUACAGUAAAGUGUAAAAGAUAUGUAACCCCUUUUGCUUUUUCCAAAGAUUAUUUCCCCUUCAUUUUCUUAUCAAAUUUUCUUUAAAUAUAUUCCUUUUUCUCUUCAUAUAUCCUUCUUCUAGCUACUAGUACUGUCUCUUUUCUUAGUUUCCAAACACACAAUAAGUUCUGUAUUAAUGGAUCCAUGCACAAGUUUCUUGCCCCUAUUAAUGGAAAUUUGAAAGGUUGGCAAAAUAUCAAACACCUUGUGUGCAAUGAAGGUUCUUGAAGAUUUUGGCUAUGUAGAUUUCAAGAAAAUGUUAAUUAUGCAAAUGCAGAUAGUUGGUUUUGUUAACAGCUAUUUUGGGUGUUCAAAAGUUGAAAUUUUUCUACUUGAAAUGGAUUUUUCCAAAUUUUCGUGAUUUUCCGGCAGUGGUUGACGGCGGUGAACGGUGGUUCACGGCGGUGGACGGCGGUGGUGGUGAUAUUGGCGGGGACGGCUCAAUCUUUUGUCUCACAAAUGGUACUUUUGUAUAUCAUUUUGAUUUUUAUUUUCACUUUAUUUUUCUACAAGGCAUUUUGGUUUUUGAUGUUAUUAUUAUUGUAGAAAAUUUGGAAUUAAUUGUAUUAUUACUUAUUAUCUUUGGUGAAUUUUUCGGAAGAAAAAUAUUCAAUUAAAUAGGA